ACGGGUGAGUAAUGUCUGGGAAACUGCCUGAUGGAGGGGGAUAACUACUGGAAACGGUAGCUAAUACCGCAUAACGUCGCAAGACCAAAGAGGGGGACCUUCGGGCCUCUUGCCAUCGGAUGUGCCCAGAUGGGAUUAGCUAGUAGGUGGGGUAACGGCUCACCUAGGCGACAAUCCCUAGCUGGUCUGAGAGGAUGACCAGCCACACUGGAACUGAGACACGGUCCAGACUCCUACGGGAGGCAGCAUG
rnacentral:rRNA from 1 species